GCACACCAUGGAGGUAGGGGUGCCGGGCACUUGAGGAAACACCAGGCUUAGUCAGGAGGCAGAGGAAGUGAGUGGAAAAUGUGGAUGAUGGCUGAUGCAUCCUGACAUGGUUGAAUUAACAUGCACAGGAAUCCCAGAGAAGAGUGCUGAGCAAGCUGAGGUUAUUGAAACCAGUCAAGGGACUCUGAAAUGAAGGUGAGAGACUAGUCUCAACAGGAAACUGAAGAAACCCAAAGGUUU